AACGAACGCUGGCGGCAGGCUUAACACAUGCAAGUCGAACGCAUCCUUCGGGGUGAGUGGCAGACGGGUGAGUAACACGUGGGAACGUACCUUUCGGUUCGGGAUAACCCAGGGAAACUUGGGCUAAUACCGGAUACGUCCUUUGGGAGAAAGAUUCAUUGCCGAAAGAUCGGCCCGCGUCUGAUUAGCUAGUUGGUGAGGUAAUGGCUCACCAAGGCGACGAUCAGUAGCUGGUCUGAGAGGAUGGCCAGCCACACUGGAACUGAAACACGGUCCAGACUCCUACGGGAGGCAGCAGUGGGGAAUCUUGCGCAAUGGACGAAAGUCUGACGCAGCCACGCCGCGUGAGUG
rnacentral:rRNA from 1 species